rnacentral:rRNA from 1 species
UACGUUUUGAUUUUUAACUCUAUUUGUUGUAGUAUCUUAAGUUUUUAUAUAUUUUUUACUUUAUUUUUUGUAAAAUGUUUUAAUUUGAUUUUGUUUUUUUAAGAUAUUAAAAAUUUGGUUUUUGAACUGGAUUAGUACCCAGGUAAUCAAAGUUUAUUAAUUCGGGAGUAAAGUUUUGUUUAAACCGAAAAAAUAUUGACUGACCUUAGAUUUUUCUUUGGAAUAUGUGUUUUGCUGGAGAGCCCUCUUUUUUGGUGAAUUUUGUUGGCACAUGUAUGAUUGUUUAGUUUUUAUUUUAUUUUGUAAUGCUUUUUGUGUUGGCAUUUAAAACAGAUAUAUACUUGGCUUAUAAAUUUAUUUUUCAUGUGUUACUAUUAUAAAUUUUUUUUGGAUUAAUUUUUUAUUUUUUUUUGAAAUUGGAAAAGAAAGUAAUUUUUUCUUAAUGUUUUGAUGAAUUUAAUAAAUAAGGU